GCCUGAAGCUGAGGAAGGAAGCAAUGAAGCCGGGAGGAAGGGAGGGAGGGUCCAGCACCAGAACUCUCUGCAGAGUCUGCAGAGUCUCUGCCCAGCCCAGCCCAGCCCAGCCCAAGUAAUGGAGGAUUGCUAUGCACUGAUUCCUUAAUGGCACCAAGACCGAGAGGCAAUUCUUCUAUCUAUCCUGACAGUGGAAAGAGAAGACAUCCUGUUUGUCCUAUUAUUGUUCUAUAUCACAUAUGGAAUGCUGGCUGGUUAAAUUAUCAACUCUGACAACCUGAUGUUGGGAUAUAUACUAAGAGAGCUGAUGCAUAAAGCUUAAGACUGUAGAGGCUCAAGGCAACCUUCAACAAGAACGUCUUCAAAGUUUACACAUUUGUGUGUCUACACAUACAAGCAGAAAACAUUAUACAAUCCAUCCCCAUGCAAUCCAUCCCCAUGCAACCGUUAAAAGAAACUUCAUAAAAUAGAAAUGAUAUCAUAAUCAGUGAAGAUUUUCACCCUAAGCAUGUAUUGACAACACCAGUACUAGACACAUCAAUUCAACCAAUCACAGAUGAUUACCAACCAUUUUGGGGGAUAGAAAUGCCUUACAGAACAAGUGGAGCUGAGUCACGGAAUUUAAUAGAACUGGGGCCACUGUCGAAAAAGUCCUGCUGUGCAUAACUGCCCACUCACCUUUGCAGUGGAUGGGCGGAUAAGCUUAAUAUGGGAAGAGGUGUUGCCUCUGAAAUGUGGAGUCUAGACUGUAAAAGGCUGGAAAGAUCAAAACCAGCACUCUGAAUUGGGCCCGGAAGUCCACAAACACAGCCAAUGCAGUUAACAAAGGCUUGGCUGAAAAUGUUCUCUUUUUUCUACCCCAGUUAACAAUCAAGCUGCCACAGUUUGAAGCAGCUUUUGAAUUCUUUUUAAGUGCAGCCCCAUGCAGAGUGCAUUGGAAUAGUUAAUCUUCAAGGUUAGGCAGAGAUGAUGAUUGCCAAGUCUCCAGAUCAAGGCAAGACCAGCCUGAAAAUAACAGAAUGGGAAGACAAUACUGAGUCUGAACCAUGAUGGCUGUUACCAAAAUCCCAGCAGCAAAGCUGGGCAAGGAGCAAUUUCAUUCCACAAAUCUGCCCUACCAGAGGCAGAGAAGCCUUGUUUAGAAUGGGCAACACUUCCUCUUCUCGUACCAACACGUCCAUCUUGUCUAGAUUCAGUCAGAGCUCAUGGACUCUCAUCCACUCAACCCACUUAGUCUGUUGAGGGUUGAAGGGGUCUUUGAUGAGUUUAGAAAAUGACUAGACAGAUGCAUAGAUGGCUGGUCUAUUGACAGCCCUUAGCCUUGAUUCCUCUGAGUAGCAAACAUUGGUGACAAAUGGGAUCUGGCACCUAGCCAGAUGCCACUAGUUGCUCACAGGCGAAAAAGAGUGGGGGAGGAAAUCCCACCGUGACAACGAAAAACAAAUAUACAAAUAAUAUAAAGCAACCAAACACUGAAAAAAGUAUUAUUGCUGGAUAAUUAUUUCACCGGAUAUUUUGCUGGAUAAUACUGCAAGACUGUGUUAAGCUCGAGGAAUGGGGUACCGGUAUUAAUGAUGUUAAGGAGGCUGAUGAAGCUUUGUGGGCGAAACGGCGAAUAUCCAGAAGAGCCAUUCGACUUUGAUCCAUGAAGUUUGUUUUUCUCCAUUAGGGCAUGCAGUGGGCUUUAUCUUUGAUUCAUGACAUCUAAUUUAUGGAAGCCAUGCUCGACGGGUUCUCUGCAAUCUGCAUGUUUGUUAUUUGAAACCUUCACUCCUGUGUGGAUGGUAUUGAGUGCCUCUCAUAUAAGCAAGCACCCCCCUUUCUUUUGCCCUGUUCAGCCACAUCCUUAUAUGUUCAGUUUGCAUUCUCCUAAAGGGCAAAAGGGGGUUAAUUCGUUGACUGAUGACGUCCACACCUCAUUGAGACCACGUUUGAUGCGGCUUUUUUUAAUUUGGAACGUCUAUUACGACAUUGGACUUUGCCCAUUUCAUCUAGCAGCCCUAUUUUUGCCUUGUUCAGUCACACCUCCUCUGGAAAUCUCUGACUGUCAUUGCACAUGCCAAAAUCUAUGCAUUCUGUAUCAGGAGAUGGCAAUAUUUGCAUUCUGUAUCAUGAGAUGGCAAUAUUUGCAUUCUGUAUCUUGAGAUGGCUUGAGUAUUACUGUAUAUAUUAUUAUUCUUGUUGAAUUGUUUAGCUUGGAUUAAUGAUUUUUGCUCAUUAGUGUUAUUGAUUAUUUAAUUAUUGGUUCAUUGUUUGUUAAUAUACAUUUUCAGUGUUGGGCUGCUUUAUAUUAUUUGUAUAUUUGUUUUUCGUUGUCAUGGUGGGAUUUCCUCCCCCCCUCUUUUUCACCUGUUUUAUUCCGUGAUUGCCCUUGUUUGUGUACUAGUCACUCACAAGCAGUGCAAGUUAGUGAUGAUGGACACCAUCAUCACUAACCUGCACAGCUUGUGAGCUACUAGUGGCAUCUGGCUGGGUGUUGUUGGAGCAACGUGGUGGACUAGACUGGUCUUAGUCUGAUCCAGCAAAGCCAUUGUUACGUUCUUGUGUUGCUACGAACGCUUUGAAGUCUAUAGGCUGUUGAAUUAUUAUUGGUGAAUGAACAAGGAACAAUGAAACACACAGCUUCUAAGCAAUUUGUCUUUGUGUCAUAAAACUAGCACAGAGUGUGGGCCAGAUUCUCUCCCGCUUUACUUCUCAACUUGAUCUGUCAAUUCUGUUCCAGCCAGGGGGAGAUACUCUGAAGUGGAAUGAAUCAAGAUGCCCUGAUCAUUUGCUAUUAACUCUAUGUAGGGCCCUGAGUCAAAAGAAACCUUGCUGCAUUCCCAAAUGCAUACAUUCUACUCUCUAAACUGAUUUGCCUGUUGGGUAUUUUAACAUUUACUUUAUAUGUAUUUUUAAAUAAUAUGAACACCAACAGAUAUUAAGCCUGUUCACACAAGCAGCCUAACCCAGGCUAGGGUGGUCCAGCCCGGGUUGGCCUGUUCAUAUGCAGCCACUUGACUUUUAACCCUCACCUUUUGCUGAGGUUAAACGAACCUCAAGUUCAUUUAACCUCAGCAGGCGAUCGUAAGAACGAUCACUACCAGGUUAAAAGGCUUCCCCCAGCCUGCCGCCAUUUCCACCAGCAAGCCGGGGUUGGCGGCGGGGAGGAUCAGCUGCACCAAGUGUGGCAGCUACUUUAAUGUGAGCAGCUGCCACGUGCCUGGUGCAGCACACCCUGGGAUGUGGGAGGGGGGAUCCUUCCGCUCCUGGCUUCAGCUUUCACUGCUCGUGUGGGUGUGAGGUGCGGUGAAGGCACAGACAGCCACUGAUCAUCUGCCAGGGAAGGCAGGCAAGCAGCGGCCAUGAGGUCAAGGGCCCGACCUCAUUGAAUCUCUCUGUUCUUUGAGAGUCUUGGUUGGAGCUCUAGCCAAGAAAACAAACAAGAGAAAUCCAAAGAGGCACUGGUUUAUAUCAGGAACAUAAGUACCACUGUGUAACAGCACAUAAGAAGCCAGCAAGAAAUGACUGCACCAGCAAAUUACAACGUCACCAAAAUGAACAGAUUCUUAUCAAGAUGUGACUUCGAACUGGCAGUGAAAACAUAACAUACUGUUCAAGUGUGCUGCAUUUAUUUGUUUGUUUAUGUAUGUACUUAUUUAAUAUAUUUAUAUACUGCCCGGAACUCAUGUCUCUGGGUGGUUUACAGUAAAACAACACACAUUAAAACAAAAUUAAAACAUUAAAA